GUCUUCCAGAUUCCUUCCCCAUCAGAUCCAGAUCCUGGUCUGAGCGGCUGUAAAAGAAGGAAAAGUCUAUCUGAAAUAGACUUGGAUUCUUGGGUGACCUAGAAGUAUGUUACCAAUGAAC
rnacentral:snoRNA from 1 species